rnacentral:rRNA from 1 species
AUUGAACGCUGGCGGAAUGCUUUACACAUGCAAGUCGAACGCAUCGCAAGAUGAGUGGCAGACGGGUGAGUAACGCGUGGGAACAUACCCUUUUCUACGGAAUAGCUCUGGGAAACUGGAAUUAAUACCGUAUACGCCCUACGGGGGAAAGAUUUAUCGGGGAAGGAUUGGCCCGCGUUGGAUUAGCUAGUUGGUGGGGUAAAGGCCUACCAAGGCGACGAUCCAUAGCUGGUCUGAGAGGAUGAUCAGCCACAUUGGGACUGAGACACGGCCCAAACUCCUACGGGAGGCAGCAGUGGGGAAUAUUGGACAAUGGGCGCAAGCCUGAUCCAGCCAUGCCGCGUGAGUGAUGAAGGCCUUAGGGUUGUAAAGCUCUUUCACCGAUGAAGAUAAUGACGGUAGUCGGAGAAGAAGCCCCGGCUAACUUCGUGCCAGCCGCCGCGGUAA